UGCCUGAUGGUGUAAAGGUAGCACAGCAGUUUUUGGUACUGUUAGUCUUGGUUCGAAUCCAGGUCGGGUAA
rnacentral:tRNA from 2 species